rnacentral:rRNA from 1 species
AAUGAACGUUGGCGGCAUGGAUUAGGCAUGCAAGUCGAGCGAGAAGAGUUCUUUUGCUUGCAUUAGAACUCGGAAAGCGGCGAAAGGGAGAGUAACGCGUAGUUAUCUACCCCGAGGCCCGGAAUAGCCCGCCGAAAGGCGGGGUAAUGCCGGAUAAUAUCCCCGGAUCAAAGGUGCGAUUCCGCCUUGGGAGGAGACUGCGUUGUACUAGCUAGUUGGUAGGGUAAUGGCCUACCAAGGCGAUGAUGCAUAGCGGGCGUGAGAGCGUGGCCCGUCCCACUGGGACUGAGACACUGCCCAGACACCUACGGGUGGCUGCAGUCGAGAAUCUUCGGCAAUGGGCGAAAGCCUGACCGAGCGAUGCCGCGUGCGGGAUGAAGGCCCUCGGGUUGUAAACCGCUGUCAGUUGGGAGGAAGGCUCCGUGAAGAACGGAGUUUGACCUAUCUUCAGAGGAAGUCCGGGCUAAGUUCGUGCCAG